GAUGAAGAACGUAGCGAAAUGCGAUACGUAAUGUGAAUUGCAGAAUUCAGUGAAUCAUCGAAUCUUUGAACGCAUAUUGCGCUCUCUGGUAUUCCGGAGAGCAUGCUUGUUUGAGUAUCAGUAAACACCUCAACUCCCUUUUCUUUUUUGAAAUUGGAGCUGGACUUGAAUGAUCCCAACGCUUUCUUCCAAGAAAGUGGCGGGUUGCUUGAAAUGCAGGUGCAGCUGAACUUUUCUCUGAGCUAUAAGCAUAUCUAUUUAGUCUGCCUAAAAAACAGAUUAUUACCUUUGCUGCAGCUAACAUAAAGGAGACUAGUUCUUGUGCUGACUGAUGCAGGAUUCACAGAGACAGCUUCGGCUGACUUUGUAAACUCGAUCUCAAAUCAAGUAAGACUACCCGCUGAACUUAAGCAUAUCAAUAAGCGGAGGA
rnacentral:misc_RNA from 1 species